CCGUUAAUGCGGCUCGGUGAUUCCGAACGGUUGCAAGCCCGUGAAAACCGCAAGAGCAAAUAG
rnacentral:ribozyme from 2 species